UACGUAGGGUGCAAGCGUUAAUCGGAAUUACUGGGCGUAAAGCGUGCGCAGGCGGUUGUGCAAGACCGAUGUGAAAUCCCCGGGCUUAACCUGGGAAUGGCAUUGGUGACUGCACGGCUAGAGUGUGUCAGAGGGGGGUAGAAUUCCACGUGUAGCAGUGAAAUGCGUAGAGAUGUGGAGGAAUACCGAUGGCGAAGGCAGCCCCCCUGGGAUAACACUUGACGCUCAUGC
rnacentral:rRNA from 1 species